AAAAGCUUCCGUAAGGAAGUGAUGAGAUCAGCAGGGAGAGCAAGAGUCAAUGAGGCAAAGAGAUUGGGGUUGAGGGGCUGCGUGUUCCUGGAGGAUGGGAACUGUGUCUUAUCAUUCUGCUGGGGACUCAUAUGAGAAGAGGAGGUUGAGAUCUCUGCAGCAGACAUUCCCAAACCUGGUGGAGCAUCAGAACCAGGAAUAGGGUCUCAUAGGACAAUGUCUCAGUACAACCUCAAACUUCUUGGCUCAAGCGACCCUCUCGCCUCAGCCCCCCUAGUAGCUGGGACUACGGGCACACCACCAUGUCUAGCUGGGACUACAGGCACACCACCAUGCCUGGCUAAUUAAUUUUUUUUUUUUUUUUUUUAGAGAUAGGGUCUUGCUCUGUUGCCCAGGCUGAUCUCGAACUCCUGGGCUCAAGCAAUCCUCCUGCCUCAGCCUUCCAAAAUGUUGGGAUUAUAGGCGUGAGUCACUGCACCUGGCCUUGUAAUGAUCUAAUUUCUUGUAUGGUUUAUUUAUCAGG
rnacentral:lncRNA from 1 species